AACUUGCCAUUGAAUCAUUUAAUAACUAAUUAAAAGUCCGGGAUAAAACAUGCUGUCUACAGCUUUCUGGCAAACAUCCCACUGACUUCAGCAGAGCCAAGAUUUUACCCUUUCCUUGACUGCAGAGCUUGUUUGUUGUCACAUCUUUUACUUUAGCUGUUCUGCGUGGGUUAUGCUAGAUUUUUUUCUCUUAGAUAUGUGUUUUCUUUUCCUUUUGUCAAAUAUUCUCACUUCAGCUCCAGGACAUAGGGUCAACAUGAUGGACCCCAAGUGGUAGUUCAUGACCAGGCUAGCUGUGUUUUGCCCUUGUCCUUUCCUGCUGUGAUCUAGGAGACGACAAGGAGUAGAUGAGAGGGUAGUAGGAUUUUCAGCAGGUAAAGGUCACCUCAAGCAUCACUGUUCAGGCAUGAACUGGACUUGCAUGUCUUUGUUGCCAGAGCUGAGUGGUGCUUACAGAGGUCCCUCUGACCAGCUGGAAAAAGGACAGACAACUGCAGCCUAGAGCAUCAGCUCUUUCACCACCCAGGGCUGAAUGCCAGGAGGAGAAACAGAAUCCUAUAUGUGUAUAUCCUAUAUGUGUAAAUGCUGCUGGUAACAGAAAGAUGUUCCCAUUCUGUCUGUGCAUAUUCUUUGGUAUGUAUUUCUCUGUCUUCCCCUUUUGUACUUACCAGUUGUACCCUCUGUAAUUUUGUUUUCACAGUCCAUCUUAGAAGAGACUUUUGCCAUUUUUGUCUGGAACUGAAUAACUCCAAGAUGCACUCCCACUGCCUGCUUGAAGUGUUUCACACACCUCUAGCGGCAAACCCUCUUCGUUGCCAAGACAACCCCGAAGAAAUACGAAAUCCAGAACAAUACCCUGUGUACGAGGAGCCUCGUAUUCUCUGGUGCACGCGUUCGUUUUGAAUGUCAAGAGAAACGCUGCCCUACCCUCCACAUCGACCCAGGUAAGCCCAGGUAAAGUUAUAGGUGAUGUCUGUGAGAUUGUAGUGACUUAAUUUAGAGACUGUCUUUUGUCCUGGCAGCUGCCAAAGCUUGAGGGCCGGCUCUGAGAGCCUGAGCACUGUAUUCCUGCAGUGCAGCAUUACCUAAGGCUGGACAGGCAGCACCAGGAGGAUUCCUGAGGGCUGUCAUGCAAGUAAGUCAGGGUUGGGGCUCUGACUGCUCUCCCCAGCCAGUGCUGCAUGUAAAGUUGUCUGCAGUGAGCAGGGAAUGCCACGUUGUGAUGAUCUGCCUUUGCAGUGGUUUCUAAAGAUUUCUCAGGCAGCUGAAUGCAAGGUUGUGCAGCCAUAAAGGUCUUUUCGCUCCAUAACUGGGAUUUACUGAGCUGUGCUCUGUCUUUAGGUCAAAGGAAAUAUAAAUGUGACUUAAGCCUCUUUGCUUAAGGUCUUGGCUCAAUGCAGGACAGUGGAAGGUCUGGAGCUUUGGGUUUGUUAAUGCUUAUUUAUUUAACCCCAGUGAAUGAACCUUGGACAAAGGUCCGGGAGGUCAGAAUAAAUAUCUUCAGAGACUCUUAGGACA
rnacentral:lncRNA from 1 species